rnacentral:rRNA from 1 species
CGAAUGGCGGCGUGCUUACCAUGGCAGUCGAACGGAGCGCCGGACACGGACUAUUUCGGUAGGAAGCGUGCGGAGGCUUAGUGGCGGACGGGUGAGUAACGCGUGGAUAACCUGCCGCAUACCGGGGGAUAACAGCUGGAAACAGCUGCUAAUACCGCAUAUGCCCGCAGUGCCGCAUGGCACAGCGGGGAAAACUCCGGUGGUAUGCGAUGGGUCCGCGUCUGAUUAGGCAGUUGGCGGGGUAACGGCCCACCAAACCGACGAUCAGUAGCCGGCCUGAGAGGGCGGACGGCCACACUGGGACUGAGACACGGCCCAGACUCCUGCGGGAGGCAGCAGUGGGGAAUAUUGCACAAUGGGGGAAACCCUGAUGCAGCGACGCCGCGUGAAGGAAGAAGUAUCUCGGUAUGUAAACUUCUAUCAGCAGGGAAGAAAACAGACGGUACCUGACUAAGAAGCCCCGGCUAACUACGUGCCAGCAGCCGCGGUAAUACGUAGGGGGCAAGCGUUAUCCGGAUUUACUGGGUGUAAAGGGGGCGCAGACGGCCAUGGCAAGCCCGGUGUGAAAGGCAGGGGCAUAACCCCUGGACUGCACUGGGAACUGUCAGGCUGGAGUGCCGGAGGGGUAAGCGGAAUUCCUGGUGUAGCGGUGAAAUGCGUAGAUAUCAGGAGGAACACCGGCGGCGAAGGCGGCUUACUGGACGGCAACUGACGUUGAGGCCCGAAAGCGUGGGGAGCGAACAGGAUUAGAUACCCUGGUAGUCCACGCCGUAAACGAUGUAUACCAGGUGUCGGAUAUC